rnacentral:rRNA from 1 species
GGGAUACCCGGCCCAACGGUCGGGUAAUACCGCAUAGGGUAGCUUCUUUCGCAUGGGAGAACUAGCAAAGCCCUGGAGCAAUCCAGAGGCGCCACAGGGGGGGCUCGCGGCCUAUCAGCUAGUUGGGGGGGUAAUGGCCCACCAAGGCGACGACGGGUACCUGGUCUGAGAGGAUGGCCAGCCACAUUGGGACUGACAGACUGCCCAGACUCCUACGGGAGGCAGCAGUGGGGAAUCUUGCGCAAUGGCCGAAAGGCUGACGCAACGACUCCUCUUGGGGGAGGAAGGCCUUCGGGUUGUAAACCCCUGUUGCCCGGGACGAAUGUGCUCUUUAGAGAGCAUUGACGGUACCGGGUGAGGAAGCUCCGGCUAACUC